UUUAGCGUUUACCUCUAAUUCUUUCUUCCUUUUUCUUUUUCUUUGUCCUUCUCUCAUUUCACGCAAUUUCCUUUUUCCUCCUGUAAUUUCUCCCUUUCAAGUAAAAGAAAAAUGGUAAAUUAGAGAAACAUAAAGUAUUUAUAUUAAACAUCAACACACUCAUAGACAACAAUGAUAUCAACUUUUUUGCAGCCAAUAAAGUACGUGGUCUUAGGCCGCACGCAAAUGGCAGGAUGUACAAGCGCGAAUCUAGUUGUCGUCGAGCUGUUGUAAUUUGGUUAUCAGGGAGCAACAUACAUGGCCCAUGUCACAAUAACUCAGGCGCGCAUUUGCUCUUACUUUUUGCCUUGGAUUCUGGGGGUUCCCUUUCUCACAUAGAACGAUCACUUUCCUUUCACAAUGCUUUCCUGAAGUUGUUCACGAAUCAAAGUGAAAAUAUCCUUUAAAGUGUCGCAUUCUCUUUUUUAUCUGAAGCAAUUUAUAUCAGAUUAAGAUUUGCCAAAUGCUCUGAGAUUAUGCAAUUAAUCUGAAUAAGUCAUAACCCCAUUCUCUUCUCAAA